rnacentral:rRNA from 1 species
UGGGGAAUAUUGCACAAUGGGCGCAAGCCUGAUGCAGCCAUGCCGCGUGUGUGAAGAAGGCCUUCGGGUUGUAAAGCACUUUCAGCGAGGAGGAAGGUGGUGGACUUAAUACGUUCAUCAAUUGACGUUACUCGCAGAAGAAGCACCGGCUAACUCCGUGCCAGCAGCCGCGGUAAUACGGAGGGUGCAAGCGUUAAUCGGAAUUACUGGGCGUAAAGCGCACGCAGGCGGUUUGUUAAGUCAGAUGUGAAAUCCCCGGGCUCAACCUGGGAACUGCAUUUGAAACUGGCAAGCUAGAGUCUCGUAGAGGGGGGUAGAAUUCCAGGUGUAGCGGUGAAAUGCGUAGAGAUCUGGAGGAAUACCGGUGGCGAAGGCGGCCCCCUGGACGAAGACUGACGCUCAGGUGCGAAAGCGUGGGGCAGCAAACAGGAUUAGAUACCCUGGUAGUCCACGCUGUAAACGAUGUCGAUUUGGAGGUUGUGCCCUUGAGGCGUGGCUUCCGGAGCUAACGCGUUAAAGUCGACCGCCUGGGGGAGUACGG